rnacentral:rRNA from 1 species
UUGAACGCUGGCGGCAGGCCUAACACAUGCAAGUCGAGCGGUAACAGAACCAGCUUGCUGGUUGCUGACGAGCGGCGGACGGGUGCGUAACACGUAGGAAUCUGCCCGGUAGUGGGGGAUAGCCCGGAGAAAUUCGGAUUAAUACCGCAUACGCCCUAAGGGGAAAAGCAGGGGCCCCGUUUCUUUUAUAAGGAACGGACCUUGCGCUAUCGGAUGAGCCUGCGUCGGAUUAGCUGGUUGGUGGGGUAAAGGCCUACCAAGGCGACGAUCCGUAGCUGGUCUGAGAGGAUGAUCAGCCACACUGGGACUGAGACACGGCCCAGACUCCUACGGGAGGCAGCAGUGGGGAAUAUUGCACAAUGGGCGCAAGCCUGAUGCAGCCAUGCCGCGUGUGUGAAGAAGGCUCUAGGGUUGUAAAGCACUUUCAGCGAGGAGGAAAGGUUGGUUGUUAAUACCGGCCAACUGUGACGUUACUCGCAGAAGAAGCACCGGCUAACUCCGU